rnacentral:lncRNA from 1 species
GUGAAAUGGAGUGAGGCAUACCAGGAUAUGCCUGGUUUUACUCUUGGGAAGGAGGUUGAACAGUGCAAUAUUUCUUCUAUAGGAUUGCAGUGACCAGACAUGCUACUGUAACUCUCAUGGUCAUGUGCUGGAAUUAGCAGAUAUUCAACAAUUUGGCCAUCUCGCUGACCUAUUGAUAUCAGAAGACCGCAGCAGCUCUGCAAAGCAAGUUGCAAAACAGAAUCCAUGAAAGUGGCAGUGACCGGAAACCAGUUGGAAGACUUUGGUCUGUGAUGUAGAGGAGUGGGCAGAGGUAGCAGAAGCAAAGACAACAAAAAACAGAAGUGAUAUGGAUGUCUUCGUCAUAUGGCAUGACUCUGCUGACCCAGCAACAAAGAGGAGGGUCUUCAACAUCAUCCUGCUAGUCAGGAUUCUUCAGGAGAAGCAGUGGAUUCUUGUGGCAGAGAUGGCCAACCACUAUAAAUACCUUUCAACUCAUCCUGGUUCCUUCAAAGAACUUUCCUGCUUGUUUGCUACUGAAAAAUUCGACAUGUGGCCUAAACGAAGAGGGGUUAAAAGGUCUAUGGAUCAUCAUUCUCAGAAAGCAACAAAAUAACUGAGAAAUAAACAACAAUACGAUGGUGCAAUCUAGAGACCUGCAAGGUACUUGCAAGUUUUGGCUGGAGCAGAGAACAUAGAUUUUUUUAAAUAAAGCUCCAGCUGAUGAAUAUGACAUUGACUGUGGAUUUUCUUUUACUGUAAUCCAGAAGAGGAUGACCUUAACCCUGAAUCUAAAGCAUGUAAUGCAAUCUGUAAAAAAAAUAAAAUAAAAAUUUCAUCUUCUAUAACCAAAUUGUUGUCUCUUUUUUUUUUUUAAAUACAUAGAUAUGUACGGU